rnacentral:rRNA from 1 species
AUUGAACGCUGGCGGCAUGCCUUACACAUGCAAGUCGAACGGCAGCACGGGUGCUUGCACCUGGUGGCGAGUGGCGAACGGGUGAGUAAUACAUCGGAACGUACCUUAUCGUGGGGGAUAACGCAGCGAAAGCUGUGCUAAUACCGCAUACGCCCUGAGGGGGAAAGCGGGGGAUCGAAAGACCUCGCGCGAUUAGAGCGGCCGAUGCCUGAUUAGCUUGUUGGUGGGGUAAAAGCCCACCAAGGCGACGAUCAGUAGCUGGUCUGAGAGGACGGUCAGCCACACUGGGACUGAGACACGGCCCAGACUCCUACGGGGGGCAGCAGUGGGGAAUUUUGGACAAUGGGGGCAACCCUGAUCCAGCAAUGCCGCGUGAGUGAAGAAGGCCUUCGGGUUGUAAAGCCCUUUUGUCAGGGAAGAAACACCGGCUCUAACACAGUCCGGGAAUGACGGUACCUGAAGAAUAAGCACCGGCUAACUACGUGCCAGCCGCCGCGGUAA